UUUCAGCAUAUUUGUUUAUUUCCGAUAACUUCAGUUGCGGAUGUGGACGCAUCCUUUUAGCGAGGGGGAAAAACAGUGGUGAAAUCAGCGGGAGGAGGUCAUUGGAGCUGUGGUCUAAAUCCUUCAACAACCGCCAUGGAAAUAACCUCCUGCUCCACGCUCUAUACUCAUCCUAUCAAAAGAACCACAUCUUGCAAUUGCUUCUACUCCCAUGCCGGACUUAAUCUGCCAACAACCAGAUUCCAUCCCUCUUCUCCACAUCUCUCUGUUUUCUCGAGAAGCUUUACCUCCACUGGGAAGAGUUUACGAAUCAGGACACCAGUUGCUCUCAGCACUACCAGCCGUUCUAACAACUAUUCAUCCCAAGAACUCGCGGUUCUUCUCGAAGUUGAAGGAGUCCUUGUGGAUGCAUAUCGCUCAACUAAUCGCCAAGCUUUCAAUGAGGCAUUUCGGAAGCUUGGACUUGACUGUGCAAAUUGGACUGAUCCUGUAUAUUCAGACCUUGUCAGGAAGAAUGCUGCUAAUGAGGAACGAAUGCUAAUUAUGUAUUUUAACCGUAUUGGUUGGCCGACUUCACUACCAACAAAUGAGAAGGAAUCAUUUAUUAAAAGUGUUCUGCGAGAAAAGAAAAAUGCAUCAGAUGAAUUGAUGGUUUCACAAAGUUUACCUUUACGGCCUGGAGUUGAAGAUUUCAUUGACAAUGCAUAUAACGAGGGAAUACCUGUGAUUAUUCUCACAGCCUACAGCAAAAGUGGAGAAGAAAUUGCUAGAUCUAUCAUUAAUAAGCUUGGACCUGAGAGAAUAUCCAAAGUAAAGAUUGUUGGGAAUGAGGAGACAAGACAGAGUUUAUACAGUGAAGUUGUGCGUGGUCAAGCAAAGCAUUCAGGUUUGGACGAGCAACUAGCUAAGGAAGCAAUGAAAGCAGCUUCUGCGGAGAAACAAAGGAUUGCCGAGAAAGUUGCAUCUGCGCUGAAGUUGAGCGUCGAGAUAAAUACUACCUCAUCUGAAAGUUUGGACAAGAUCAUAUGUGCAUUGCGUGCUGGAGCAGAACUUGCGGACAUACCUGUUUCCAAUUGCAUCCUUAUUGCAGGAACCCAGUCUGGGGUUGAUGGAGCUGAGCGAAUAGGCAUGCCGCGUAUUGUGCUCCGUAGCAGUUUGACAUCACGAGCUGAGUUCCCUUCAGCAAACGCUAUAAUGGAUGGCUUUGGAGUAGGUGGCUUGACCAUUACCAGAUUACGGCAAAAGACAUGGUCCUCAGAUGCAUGACCCCAUCAUUACUUGCUGUCCUCUUCAUGACCGUUAAAUCUCAGUGUUAUGACGAUGCCCUUGUCCUAUUACCCGACAAUUUUCAUGAUUCGAAUUUCCAUGUUUGCGUAGAGACACGUAUGGCCAUGACUUAUAUUCUUGGGAUUUUGAAUCCUUGCUACCAAAUAAUAACCCUCCUUGAGCUGCAAAAGUUCAGAGAAUAUCUUCCAAAGAAAUAGACGAGAUUUCAUCCUA